CCAAAAAAGUAAAAAACUCCUCGGUUUCUGAAGAGUAAAAACAUAAAAGGAAAAGUCUUUAUUUUCUGGAAUAUGGUUGCAACUUUGCCCUAGUAAUCUCUUCAAAUCAUCAGGAUCGUCGCUUCUAUAGUAUUUUUCCAGCGAAACUCUGCCCCAAUCUCAACAACAAUGGAUUUCCAUAGCAGCGGUGUCUUCUUGUUGUGUAUACUUAGUUGCUGCUUAUAUUAUUAGCUGCUCGAUCGGUGGAAAAAUAGAGGUUUAAUUUUUAACUUGUUUGCACGUUCAAGAUGAAACCAUUGAAGAUUGAAAAUGAGAUCGAUUCUAAUAUGAAGAGUACUAUAAGAUAUACAUUUGUCGCACUUGGUGCUAUUGGAAAGGGACGAGGACGAGGGCUUUAGUCUUUGGGUGAGAAAGGAAAUUUACCAUCUAAGAGUAUAUUGCCUCAAUCAAGUGAUCUAGUUAAGAAGUACAUCAAAGAAAUUGAAACAAAUUAUAUAGGGAAGGGACGAGGACAAGGACUUAAAAACUCUACCAUGUCUACUAGUCAAGGAAUACGAAUGAUGCAUAAGAACUCCAUGGCUUUUGAGAAAGAGAACAUGCAAAUUAAUACUUCAUCUCCUACAUCUACUAAUCAAUUUAAGAAAUACACCCAAGAAAUUGAAACAAUGGGUCCAGGUGCUAUAAAAAAGGGACUAGAGAAAAGAACUGGAUCUUUGAGCUCCACUUUAGGAAUUUCUGAAUAUGAGGUGAGAUCUUUCAACAAGAGUACUGUUUUUGCUAAUGUUACUCCUACUAAAUGCACCAAAUCGAGUUUACCAUGCCUUCUAGUCACGAAAUGUAAAAGAUGAAAAAAAUAGUUCUUGAGAAAGAGGAUAUGCAAACCAAUGUUUCAUUGCCUCCAUCUGUUGAUCAAGUUAUGAAACACUCUAAACAACAGAAAAAGGUUCAUCUAAUCCUACAAAGGUUAAAGAGUUCAAGGAAGCAACAAGUGCAAAGAAGUUGCUUCACUUGAAAUUGGACAGAAGCUGAAAGUAACAUUUUACAAUAAUCGAACGGUUGGAACAAAUAACAAUCUUUUUUCAAGGCAUUUGGGAAAAAUUGUUCGUGAUCGUAACAUUUGUCACUUGGGGUAUCAUCGUCGCAUGAUAUUAAGCAAGAAAAGUUGAAUCACGAACAACCGUUACGAUCAGGUGUAUAUUUGUUACCUCCACAUAUGAUGCCUCUCCAUUUUCUGAAAAUAAUAACUCAAAUCAUAUUUCAUCUGGUUCUCAUCUGGUUGUGCAGUAGAAUAUGUACCCAUUUUGAUACUGUAUUCGUUAGAGUCAGUGACUUCUUAUUGCUUACAUACAAGGAAAGUCCCCCUUGUGAUUUGGUUUGUCCAGUUUGUGCCUUAUACGGAGAUGCUACCUCAACUAGUUUAAACUUCUGAUUUUCCUGCACAUGUUGGAUGAUGCUUUGUGCCUGCUUAAUUAGACCUUUUGGUUUCUGUUUCUUCCUGCAAACUUCCUCAGAAUGCCCAUAUUUCCGGCAAUGUUUGCACAGGACUGGUGAGCACACAACACCUAACACACCACUGAAUCCUUCCAAUAAUCGAUCUCUGAGCUAAUGUCUUCCAUUUCUAUCUCCACAAUAUUAGAUGUAUCAUAGGACAUUGGGGUAACAUACUCAAGCUUAAAACCAACAUUUGAUACCUUUGAGAUGUCAAAAUCAUCCCAAAUAGAUGCCUUCCUCGCUGGAAUUAUUUUCUCCUCUUCUUCUACUACAUCUGCCCACGACUUAGUCCCACUCGUCGAUGGGCUUGUUAUAGCAGAUUUAAGCAUCACAUUCCAUUAUUCCUGCGCUUGCUUUCUCUUGCCUUUUAAU